rnacentral:lncRNA from 1 species
UAUUUAAAGUAUAAUAUAAAAUAUUCAUGACUUUAGCAUUAAGCUGAGCUAUUUUCUUAUCAAGAUCAUCUCAUUCACCUUCCGACUUAGGAAUAGACAUGCCAUCAAUCAAUUUGAUGGGUGUGUGUGGUCUAUUUACUAUGACACUCCAUAUAUCAUCCUCAAGUGGUUGAAUGAAAAUUCUUAUCUGAGCUUUCCAAUAGAUGUCGUUUGAUCCAUUGAAAAGUAAAGGCUGAUUUGUGGAUUGCCCCUC